AUGGCCUUUGCGGCAGACCCUUAUAAAGACAGCCCACGUGCAUUCCGCGGUGAUUUUUUUUUUUUAAGACACCCUAUCAACUUGUGUGGAACAGUUCGUGCUUCCCCUGAUCUUAACCAGUUGACUACCAAGAAAAUUAACUUGUUUCGUGCGAUUUUCUGGGUAGUUUUACCCGGCGCGCCUGAGUUGGCGCAGGCCUCCUCGGCCAACUGCAGGGAGCCAAGGGCUGGGUCAGCGGGAGAGCCAGGCCUCUCCUCAUGGUGGCCCCAUCCCGGGCUUCGUCCUGCAGCUGCUUCAGGGCAGACUCUGGGUUUGCAUUACCAAGUUUCUACGUGCUCCACAUCGGCCAAUGUCCCAAACAAGCCACCUGGCCAAGCGCCGAGGCACCGCGGAAGCAACCUCGCCCCUGCCUCCCCACGGCAGCCAUUUCCAGCGCACCACGGUUGUUCAGGAUGGGGCUUUAGCAGAGGACGGUUUUGUGUUUCUCCAUCGCUCUUUGUAGGAAAGCUCAUUAACCUGCCCAGGAUGGUGGCCAAGAGAGGGUGGAGAAGGACGUCAAACCCAGCGGCCAUGCUCCGGCGCCCAUCCUACCCCUACUGCAGCCUCCGCAGUGAGUUAUGGCCAACGGAGUCCGAGCGAGUUUGGCAUUCGCUUCUUUGCCUGGGAGAGCAUUGGCCACGCAGCAGUGCUGGUGGCAAGCCCUGGAAUCCAGGACGGUGGUGAGUGUGCUGGCCCGAAGGGAACUCAGCACAAAGCCAAGCCAUCUUCCCCCCUUUGCCUGUCAGGACCACAACUAGGCCACUCAACAGCCUGGGACUUACUUUUCUUGCCGGCACUCACAGGAUGCCAAAGUCUUCCGAGAAGGGUCGCAUGGGUAUGCACGAAAUUGGAAAUGAACGAGGAGUGCCCGGGUGGCUCGGUGGCUCAGUCGGUUAGGCGUCCGACUUCAGCGCAGGUCAUGAUCUCACGGUUCGUGAGUUCGAGCCCCGCGUCGGGCUCUGUGGUGACAGCUCGGAGCCUGGAGUCUACUUCCGAUUCUGUGUCUCCCUCUCUCUCUGCCCCUCCCCUGC
rnacentral:lncRNA from 1 species